AACGAACGCUGGCGGCAUGCCUAACACAUGCAAGUCGAACGAAACCUUCCGGUUUUGGGGCGGACCGCUGCUUACCACGUGGGAACUUGCCCUUAUGUUCGCAGUAACUCCCCUAAGGGUGUCUUUAGGCAACAUGGGGUCUUCGGUCCUAAGAUUUAUUGCUGUUUGAUGGGCCCUCGUUAGAUUAGGUAGUUGGUAGGGUAACAGCCUACCAAGGCGACGAUUCAUAGCUGGUAUGAGAGGAUGAUCAUCCACACUGGGACUGAGACACGGCCCAGACUCCUACGGGAGGCAGCAGUGGGGAAUAUUGGACAAUGGGGGCAAACCUGAUCCAGCCAUGCCGCGUGAGCGAUGAAGGCCUUAGGGUUGUAAAGAUCUUUCAGCUGGGAAGAUAAUGACGGUACCAGCAGAAGAAGCCCCGGCUAACUCCGUG
rnacentral:rRNA from 1 species